UACGUAGGGGGCGAGCGUUGUCCGGAAUCAUUGGGCGUAAAGCGCGUGUAGGCGGCUCGGUAAGUCUGCUGUGAAAGGCCAGGGCUCAACCCUGGGAUGCCGGUGGAUACUGUCGAGCUCGAGUCCGGAAGAGGCGAGUGGAAUUCCUGGUGUAGCGGUGAAAUGCGCAGAUAUCAGGAGGAACACCAAUGGCGAAGGCAGCUCGCUGGGACGUGACUGACGCUGAGACGCGAAAGCGUGGGGAGCAAACAGG
rnacentral:rRNA from 1 species